UGUUUCUCCCACUACUGUACUCCGAAGGCAUCAAGAGGUUUCCCUCUCACGGUUUUGGCGAAACGAGAGAAAGGAAAAAAGGAGGUCUGGCAGAGAAGCCUCGUCAUGCUAAAGGAUGGUUAAAGUCAGAGGAAGAAGAGGGAGAAACCAGAAAUCACUUAAUGACCUCUUGGGUCAAGCAUCUUUUUGCUGGAGGAGCUAAACAGUGGCCGGUGGAAGGGCUGGCAUUUCUCAUUCACCACUAUUCCUGCUAUUCCUGUGAUAAGAAAGAAACAGA